CACGUAGGGCGCGAGCGUUGUCCGGAAUUAUUGGGCGUAAAGAGCUCGUAGGUGGUUUGCUGCGUCCGCUGUGAAAACCCAAGGCUUAACCUUGGGCUUGCAGUGGAUACGGGCAGACUAGAGGUAGGGAGGGGAGAAUGGAAUUCCCGGUGUAGCGGUGAAAUGCGCAGAUAUCGGGAGGAACACCGGUGGCGAAGGCGGUUCUCUGGGCCUUACCUGACACUGAGGAGCGAAAGCGUGGGGAGCGAACAGG
rnacentral:rRNA from 1 species